GAACGCUGGCGGCGUGCUUAACACAUGCAAGUCGAACGGAAAGGCCCUGCUUUUGUGGGGUGCUCGAGUGGCGAACGGGUGAGUACACGUGAGUAACCUGCCCUUGACUUUGGGAUAACUUCAGGAAACUGGGGCUAAUACCGGAUAGGAGCUCCUGCUGCAUGGUGGGGGUUGGAAAGUUUCGGCGGUUGGGGAUGGACUCGCGGCUUAUCAGCUUGUUGGUGGGGUAGUGGCUUACCAAGGCUUUGACGGGUAGCCGGCCUGAGAGGGUGACCGGCCACAUUGGGACUGAGAUACGGCCCAGACUCCUACGGGAGGCAGCAGUGGGGAAUAUUGCACAAUGGGCGGAAGCCUGAUGCAGCAACGCCGCGUGCGGGAUGACGGCCUUCGGGUUGUAAACCGCUUUCGCCUGUGACGAAGCGUGAGUGACGGUAAUGGGUAAAGAAGCACCGGCUAACUACGUG
rnacentral:rRNA from 1 species